rnacentral:rRNA from 1 species
UGGGGGAUAUUGCACAAUGGGCGCAAGCCUGAUGCAGCCAUGCCGCGUGUAUGAAGAAGGCCUUCGGGUUGUAAAGUACUUUCAGCGAGGAGGAAGGCGGUAAGGUUAAUAACCUUAUCGAUUGACGUUACUCGCAGAAGAAGCACCGGCUAACUCCGUGCCAGCAGCCGCGGUAAUACGGAGGGUGCAAGCGUUAAUCGGAAUUACUGGGCGUAAAGCGCACGCAGGCGGUCUGUCAAGUCGGAUGUGAAAUCCCCGGGCUCAACCUGGGAACUGCAUUCGAAACUGGCAGGCUAGAGUCUUGUAGAGGGGGGUAGAAUUCCAGGUGUAGCGGUGAAAUGCGUAGAGAUCUGGAGGAAUACCGGUGGCGAAGGCGGCCCCCUGGACAAAGACUGACGCUCAGGUGCGAAAGCGUGGGGAGCAAACA